CAGGAAUUCAUCCUAAUUUUGUAGAGGAUUCAAGUGUCAUGAAAAAAUUCCAAGUCUGUCCAGAGAAAAUAACAAUCGCUACCGGAUUGGGUGAACCACAGAGAAAAAUCGCUACCGGAUUGGGUGAACCGCAGAGAAAAAUCGCUACUGGAUCAGGCGAUUCGGGAGCCACACUGGGAACAAAAACUUUGCUUCAUCAUCGUGCAGCCAGGAUCUGCUGAGCGGAUGGCAUGUCACAGGAAAAAUUCAGUUUCUGCUGUUGGAAAUGGAGAAGUGAAUAAAUCUCAAUCUUGACUAUCGCAAUGCCAA